rnacentral:lncRNA from 1 species
GUUUAGCCCUCAGAAUUUGAUACUUUUCGUCGGAGCCCUUAUGAAUGUCCGUUUGCGCUCAAAUUUGAUAGUCAGGCUCGGUUUAACUUAAUAAGAACAAAAAAAUUUUAAUCUUUCAGUUUUGACCAUUUUUGGUCCCCGAAAGCUCUACCGAACUGAAAUCUCUAGCAGAUAGCAGUCAGAUUUUAUUUUUCACUUUUCAGGUGUUAGAAUGACAUGAAACUUUAAAUCCAGCCUCAUAAAAAUAAUUCUGACAUAUUUCCCAAUUUUCAUAAUUUUCUGAGACUGUGCAUUUUCUGCUAAUUUAUCUGUCCCGUUUCCAACAGAAAAUUCUAGAUCUUCUGUUUUCAUCUCGAUUUCAGCAC